AACGAACGCUGGCGGCAUGCCUAACACAUGCAAGUCGAACGAGACCUUCGGGUCUAGUGGCGCACGGGGGCGUAACGCGUGGGAACCUGCCCUUAGGCUCGGAAUAACUCCCCGAAAGGGGUGCUAAUACCGGAUAAUGUCUUCGGAUAAAACGUUUGACGCCUUGGGAUGGGCCCGCGUUGUAUUAGCCAGUUGGUAGGGUAAAAGCCUACCAAGGCGACGAUCCAUAGCUGGUCUGAGAGGCUGAUCAGCCACUCUGGGACUGGGACACGGCCCAGACUCCUACGGGAGGCAGCAGUGGGGAAUAUUGGACAAUGGGCGAAAGCCUGAUCCAGCAAUGCCGCGUGAGUGAUGAAGGCCUUAGGGUUGUAAAGCUCUUUUACCCGGGAUGAUAAUGACAGUACCGGGAGAAUAAGCUCCGGCUAACUCCGUG
rnacentral:rRNA from 1 species